UCUUAAAAUCUCUUAUCAUUUUCCUUUAAUUCCUUCAUAUCUUUAGUUUUCUUUACCCUAAUUUAGUUCAGAUUUAUUUAUUUUUUGGGGGUUGAGGAUGAAUUCGAUGAGAUCUUGUGCCCUUCCAAUCAUUGGGUUUGUGCUCAUGGCUCUCCUGAGCCUGAGUUAUGGGCAGGCCCCAGCUCCUUCUCCAACAAGCGAUGGUGAGUUGAUCUUCUUCUGCAAAACCCCUUUUUCUUUUUUUGUUGGGUUUGGUGUGAAGCAAUGAAAAUUUGCAAACUUUAGGGUUUUUGAAAGUGUUGGGGUUCAGCUGAUAGUAAGUUGAUCUUCUUCUGCAAAACCCACAAUUCUUUUUUGUUGGGUUCGGUUUGAAUCAAUGAAAUUUGCGAACUUUAGGGUUUUUGUUAUGGGUUUUGAAGUGUUGGGGCUCAGCUAAUGAUGAUUUUGUCUAAUUUUCUCCUUUGUUGUGGUUGAAUUAAUGCAGGUAUGGCGAUUGAUCAAGGAAUUGCUUACACUCUUCUGCUGGUGGCCCUUGCAAUAACUUAUUUGCUGCACUGAUUCUUGAUUUCUCAAGUUUCAGGCAGCCCAAUCACAAUGAGCUUAUUAUUGUUGUGUACAUGAUCGAUUCGAUCUGGUGAUUAUAAAAUUCAAAUUCUUUGUAUACUUUUAUCCUUAUAUUCACUUGGAGAAUUUACAGCUAGCCCCUUUGUAGUUUGUACCUGAAUGAAUAUCAUUUCUUUGAUCCUUUUUUCCACCAACUC
rnacentral:lncRNA from 1 species